rnacentral:lncRNA from 1 species
UAAUGAACAGGGACCUGAGUACAAGGGAUAAGGCCUCAGCGAUAACAGAAUAAUGAAAGGAAGAUGGUUUCUAGGCAUUGAAGAAAUUUUUGGAAAAAUUAUUCAAGAUAUGAACCACUUCUCUCUGGAAUAUCUCAGAAUGCCUUCACAAACUUACUCAUCCAAUGGAGUUCCGUAAUUUUCUACCUAAAUGCUCACUGAAACUCCAGGCCAGGAAAAUAAAGUAACCACCAUUUGAAUAUAGCCCCA